UGAGUACGAGCUGCUACGGCAGCGAAGUGGGUGAUGUCAAGCUUCCAAGAAAAGCCCUAUACCCGUUAAGGCAUGACGGCCUGUACCCGAAACCGACACAGGUGGGGUGGUAGAGAAUACCGAGGGGCGCGAGAUAACUCUCUCUAAGGAACUCGGCAAAAUGGCCCCGUAACUUCGGGAGAAGGGGUGCCACCGCAAGGUGGUCGCAGUGAAGAGGCCCAGGCGACUGUUUACCAAAAACACAGGUCUCCGCUAAGUCGCAAGACGACGUAUGGGGGCUGACGCCUGCCCAGUGCCGGAAGGUUAAGGAAGCUGGUCAGCGCAAGCGAAGCUAGCGACUGAAGCCCCGGUGAACGGCGGCCGUAACUAUAACGGUCCUAAGGUAGCGAAAUUCCUUGUCGGGUAAGUUCCGACCCGCACGAAAGGCGUAACGAUCUGGGCGCUGUCUCGGAGAGAGGCUCGGCGAAAUAGAAUUGUCUGUGAAGAUGCGGACUACGUGCACCCGGACAGAAAGACCCUAUGAAGCUUUACUGUAGCUUGGUAUUGUGCCCGGGCUCUGAAUGCGCAGGAUAGGUGGGAGGCUUUGAUCCAUUGCUUGUGGGUAAUGGUGAGCCACUGGUGAGAUACCACUCUUUCAGAGCUAGGGUUCUAACGGUCACCCGUUAUCCGGGGACCGGACAGUAUCAGGUGGGCAGUUUGACUGGGGCGGUCGCCUCCUAAAAGGUAACGGAAGCGCGCAAAGGUUCCCUCAGGCUGGUUGGAGAUCAGCCGACGAGUGUAAAGGCAGAAGGGAGCUUGACUGUGAGACCUACAAGUCGAACAGGGACGAAAGUCGGCCUUAGUGAUCCGACGGUUCUGAGUGGAAGGGCCGUCGCUCAACGGAUAAAAGUUACUCUAAGGAUAACAGGCUGAUCUCCCCCAAGAGUUCACAUCGACGGGGAGGUUUGGCACCUCGAUGUCGGCUCAUCGCAACCUGGGGCUGAAGUCGGUCCCAAGGGUUGGGCUGUUCGCCCAUUAAAGCGGUACGCGAGCUGGGUUCAGAACGUCGUGAGACAGUUCGGUCCAUAUCCGGUGCACGCGCAGGAACAUUGAGAGGAUUUCUCCCUAGUACGAGAGGACCGGGAGGAACGCACCUCUGGUGUACCAGUUAUCGUGCCAACGGUAAACGCUGGGUAGCCAUGUGCGGAGCGGAUAACCGCUGAAAGCAUCUAAGUGGGAAGCCCGCCUCAAGAUGAGUGUUCCCAUGGCAUAAGCCAGUAAGGUCACGGGAAGAACACCCGUUGAUAGGCUCUACGUGGAAGCGUGGCAACACGUGAAGCGGAGGAGUACUAAUAGACCGAGGGCUUGACC
rnacentral:rRNA from 1 species